UACAGAGGGGGCAAGCGUUAUUCGGAAUUAUUGGGCGUAAAGGGCGCGUAGGCGGCUUUUCAAGUGACGGGUGAAAUCCCUCGGCUUAACCGAGGAACUGCCUGUCAGACUGGAAGGCUUGAGACCGGGAGAGGUGAGUGGAAUUCCCAGUGUAGCGGUGAAAUGCGUAGAUAUUGGGAGGAACACCAGUGGCGAAGGCGGCUCACUGGACCGGAACUGGACGCUGAGGCGCGAAAGCGUGGGGAGCAAACAGGG
rnacentral:rRNA from 1 species